rnacentral:tRNA from 1 species
GCCCGGAUGGCGGAGNGGUUAACGCGNACGAUUGGAAAUCGUNUUUCCUUACGGAUUCCCAGGUUCGAAUCCUGGUCCGGGCG